UCUGUGUAUCACAUGACAAGUCUUGUGGCUCCCGCUGUUCGGACUGUAGCGGCGGCAGUGUAACUAGUGACAGGCAGCUAUGGCUCUGCGGCGAGUCGCACUGCUAGGGAUUCUCUCCCUGUGUCUCUCCCUGUGUGUCUGUGAGCGCUCCCACUCACACCGGCAGUUACGGGGCAGGGAGGAGCAGCUGGAUGCGGACAUACAACUGACUGUAGCACAAGACUCACCCUUCGGGUCUCUGUGGCCGCUGCCUCAAACUGUGAUAUUGUCCGCCGACUCCUUCUACAUCCCGCCGUCCGGCUUCAGCAUUGUGCAUGGCUCCGGCUCCACCGCCGGCACCUCCUGUGUCCUGCUCCAGAGCGCCUUCCGCAGGUAUUAUGACUACAUGUUUGGCUAUUCCAAGUGGAAACGUGCAUCCGCAAAGCCCUCAAAUGCUGGCCAGUUGCUGCAGCUUCAGGUUGUAAUUCUUUCUAAGGACCAUCAAUGUCAUCGUUAUCCCACUGUUCAAUCUGAUGAAUCAUAUGAAUUAAGUGUUGGAGAGAAUGUAGCUGUCCUGAAAGCCAAUCAAGUUUGGGGUGCCCUCAGAGGGCUGGAGACUUUUAGUCAACUUAUCUAUGAAGACCGUUUUGGAGCUUUCCUAAUCAACAAAAGUUAUAUAGAGGAUUUCCCAAGGUUUGCACACAGAGGAAUUCUGCUGGACACGUCCAGGCACUACCUACCACUGAAGACCAUUUUUCUGAACUUAGAUGCAAUGGCCUUUAACAAAUUUAAUGUGUUCCACUGGCAUAUUGUUGAUGACCCAUCUUUCCCCUACCAGAGUGUUACUUUUCCUGAUCUUAGUGACAAGGGUUCUUAUCACCCAUACACACAUGUUUACACACCAGUUGAUGUCCGGUUAGUGAUUGAAUAUGCUAGGAUGAGAGGAAUUCGUGUUGUACCAGAGUUUGAUUCACCAGGACAUACGGAUUCUUGGGGUAAAGGGCAGCAAAAUCUUCUAACUCCUUGUUUUAACAAAGGACAACUGAGUGGUGCAUAUGGCCCUGUGAAUCCCAUCCUCAAUGAUACCUACAAUUUCAUGUACACAUUUUUUCAAGAAAUCAGCAACGUUUUCCCUGAUCAAUACAUCCAUUUAGGAGGGGACGAAGUAGACUUUUCUUGCUGGAAAUCAAAUCCUGAUGUUACCAAAUUCAUGACUGACCAUGGUUUCGGCACAGACUACUGCAAGCUAGAGUCUUAUUAUAUCCAGCAAGUCUUGGGCAUUGUCUCAUCUCUUAAGAAGGGCUACAUGGUCUGGCAGGAGGUCUUUGAUAACAAUGUAAAGAUUAAUCCAGACACGAUAGUGGAAGUGUGGAUGGGGCAGAACUGUUAUGAAGAACUAUACAAAGUGACAGCUGCAGGGUUCCCAGCUAUCAUGGCCGCCCCUUGGUACCUAGAUUACAUUAGUUAUGGCCAAGACUGGCAGAAAUACUACAAAGUUGAGCCGCUAAGUUUCAAUGUUGAAUCCAGACACCAUAAUUGAAGUGUGGAAGGAGCAGCUGUAUCAAGAGGAAAUGGCGGCUGUUACAGCUGCCGGCUUCCAAGCCCUUCUUUCUUCCCCUUGGUAUCUAAACCGCAUCUCUUAUGGUCAGGACUGGAUCCAGGUCUACAAAGUUGAACCAGCUAAUUUUAAUGGGACUGCUGAACAGAAGCAGCUUGUGAUUGGAGGUGAAGCCUGUAUGUGGGGUGAAUUUGUGGAUGCCACUAAUCUUACUCCAAGACUAUGGCCUCGGGCGAGUGCUGUAGCUGAGAGACUGUGGAGCAACCAGAAUGUGACGUCAGUGGGAGAUGCUUACAAUCGGCUUGUCAAACACCGCUGCCGUAUGCUCAGGCGUGGAAUAGCAGCUGAGCCUUUAUAUGUGGGAUACUGUGACCAUGAGCUGGAUGUCUAGAACGGUCACGUGACACUGCAGUGCUUGCACCAAUCAGGGAACAGCGACGGGAUGCACAGGGCCAAAAAAUGCACUUAAUUAUUUUCCUGAUCAUAUGUAAAGCAGAGGGGUCCAACCUGCAGCCUUUCUUGGGGCCAUGUCCUCUGGCAGCACCCCAGGUUAGAUAAUGGGCGCAUGUUUGGCACCCCUGUGCAACUGUUUUUUUUUUUUUUUUAUUUCAAAUAAAUGAUGAUCUACAUAUAGGCAGGUGAUAUUGCAUAAUAAAAUUCUAUAUUUAAUAAUACA